rnacentral:rRNA from 1 species
CAGCAGCCACGGGAAUACGGAGGGUGCAAGCGUUAAUCGGAAUUACUGGGCGUAAAGCGUGCGCAGGCGGUUUGUUAAGACAGAUGUGAAAUCCCCGGGCUCAACCUGGGAACUGCAUUUGUGACUGGCAAGCUAGAGUGUGGCAGAGGGGGGUGGAAUUCCGCGUGUAGCAGUGAGAUGCGUAGAUAUGCGGAGGAACACUGAUGGCGAAGGCAGCCCCCUGGGCCAACACUGACGCCCAUGCGCGAAAGCGUGGGGAGCAAGCAGGAUUAGAUACCCCUGUAGUCCCUGUCUCUUAUAC